rnacentral:lncRNA from 1 species
UCGGUACAAGAGUCUCACAGAAGAAGCUGCUGAUCCUAAUGAUUCAGAUGUAAGUACUGAAAAAGCUCAUAGCUUUCUUGUUCACAAAAGCAUAUUUCUGGAAUGAGAUUUGAAUAGCUAAUCGGGGUCGAAUUUGCCUUUACAGAGUACCAAUAAUGAGUUUGCAGGAAUCUCUCCCACUGGACUGUUGGAAAUCAUUCAAAGGUAUAACUGUUAAAUUUUUUUCUUUGUCACUUGCUCCUUGACUGGAUGUUUUAUUGGUUCGAAUUCACUGCUACGAAAACAAUGCAGGUAUGUCGUUGAUGAUGCAGCUGAAGAACAGCUCACUGUGAAUAACCUUGUACAGUUAGAAAACCGAGUCGGAUUGUCCCUAACACAAAUCAAAGAAAGAAAGGUUUGGUUUUUCACCUUGACCCUGGCUUGACAUUUAAGAAACCAGUUUUGUGUUUGGAACUCUCCUUGUUUGUUUUAAGGUUUCAAUGCAACAGUUGGAUGCUGUUUGAGACAGUACUCUUAAAGAGUUUGAUGUAAAAACAAUAAUUAUGGAAAAUGAAGAGAUAAAUUACUCACAGGUUUGGUUUUUGCAGAUGCAACUGAUGUUGGAACCCUUACAAACA